rnacentral:rRNA from 1 species
ACGGGAGGCAGCAGUGGGGAAUAUUGCACAAUGGGCGCAAGCCUGAUGCAGCGAUGCCGCGUGAGGGAAGAAGGUUUUCGGAUUGUAAACCUCUGUCAACAGGGACGAAAAUGACGGUACCUGUGAAGGAAGCUCCGGCUAACUACGUGCCAGCAGCCGCGGUAAUACGUAGGGAGCAAGCGUUAUCCGGAAUUACUGGGUGUAAAGGGAGUGUAGGCGGGACUGUAAGUCAGAUGUGAAAUAUGCCGGCUCAACUGGCAGACUGCAUUUGAAACUGCGGUUCUUGAGUGAAGUAGAGGUAAGCGGAAUUCCUAGUGUAGCGGUGAAAUGCGUAGAGAUUAGGAAGAACACCAGUGGCGAAGGCGACUCUCUGGACUGUAACUGACGCUGAGGUGCGAAGGUGCGGGGAGCGAACAGGAUUAGAUACCCUGGUA